AAAAAGCGGAGGAAAAGAAACCAACAAAGAUUGCCUCAGUAACGGCGAGUGAAGCGGCAAAAGCUCAAAUUUUAAAGCUGGCACCUCCGGUGUCCGCGUUGUAAUUUUGUGAGGCAUCUCCGGGUAGGGCGCCGGCCUAAGUUCCUUGGAACAGGACGUCAUAGAGGGUGAGAAUCCCGUGCUUGGCUGGCUGUCCCCGUCCAUGUGAGGUGUCUUCGACGAGUCGAGUUGUUUGGGAAUGCAGCUCAAAAUGGGUGGUAAAUUUCAUCUAAAGCUAAAUAUUGGUGGGAGACCGAUAGCGCACAAGUAGAGUGAUCGAAAGAUGAAAAGCACUUUGAAAAUAGAGUUAAAAAGUACGUGAAAUUGUUGAAAGGGAAGCGCUUGAGACCAGAUUUCGGUGGGGAGUGAUCAGCUGUCCUUCUGGGCGGUGCACUUGCUCCCCUCCGGGCCAGCAUCGGUUGGGACGGCGGGAUAAAGGUCCCGGGAAUGUGGCUCCUUUCGGGGAGUGUUAUAGCCCGGGUGAAUGCCGUCAGCCCCGACCGAGGACCGCGCCUUCGGGCUAGGAUGCUUGGCAUAAACAGAGUCAGCGACCCGUCUUGAACCCA
rnacentral:rRNA from 1 species